rnacentral:lncRNA from 1 species
GAAAGAGAAAGAACUCUAUUUAAACUUAGAUCAAGUUAUAUAUUCACUAAUAAAUUCAAAUACACAAUGGGUAAAUGCAAUAGUGAACUGUGUGACACAUGUUUAGUAGUGGACGAUAUGCAACACUACCUGUUUAACUGUAGGAAGUACAUACCACAAAGACAAAAAAUGAUGGAAAAGUUUGAAACAUCAGGGGUAAAAGAUCUCUCAUAUAAAAAUUUAUUUUCAGGAUAUUCUCAGACACUAA